AAGUCGUAACAAGGUUUCCGUAGGUGAACCUGCGGAAGGAUCAUUCACAAUAAGUGUUUAUGGCACUUUCAAAUCCAUACCCACCUUGUGUGCAAUGUAUAAGAGUCCCUUUCCAACUCGGAUUGGACUUGAUUUUUCUCUCACACGUCUUCAAUUGCAAGUCUAAGCUUUCAGAGUAAUCAAAAAAACUCGAAUACAACUUUUAACAAUGGAUCUCUUGGCUCUC
rnacentral:misc_RNA from 1 species